UAGAUUUAACCCUAAUCAGGUAUCGUUAAAUAUCGUUAAAUCGUCGAGAACGUUCUGUCAGACGAUCAAACGAUAACUAUUCAACAAGUCGGUAAAUCACAUCGAAAACCCAAGUUCUGGUCGCAGUGAGAAGCUCUGGAUGCCUUGAGGAGGGUUCACCAGCUCUGCUUCAACAACGUUGACAUGGGACCAGUAAAGCUGCAAGACUUUGUCGGCCAGUCAAAAGUGGACGCUGCAAUCCAAGGUGAAACUUUCUUUCUCAUGGUGGGGCACACGCAUGAAGAUUUGGAUCAACUGUUAAGUGUUUAGUGCAAGGGAACUUAGACAGAAGCCUGCAACAACCCGCGAUGCCCUCCUUCAAGAUUGGGGACAUCCGGACACCCACCACCAAGCUAUCAGACUUCAAGCCCUUCAUGCCUGCCCCAAGGGAAGCGACAACCCUCCCAACUAAAGUUCAAGAGGCAAUAGAGAAGAACAAUGAAAAACUGCAAAAACAAUCAAAGAUCACUCUGACAAAGCACCGAAGACAAGCGUCAGUAUCAGAACAAUAAAGAAG